rnacentral:rRNA from 1 species
CUGGUUGAUCCUGCCAGACCCGACUGCUAUCGGAUUGGGACUAAGCCAUGCGAGUCAACUCCGCAAGGGGUGGCGCACGGCUCAGUAACACGUAGUCAACCUACCCUGGGGACGGGGAUAACCUCGGGAAACUGAGGCUAAACCCCGAUGGGCCAUGGCUCCUGGAAUGGGCUAUGGCUGAAAUCUACAUGGCCCCAGGAUGGGACUGCGGCCGAUCAGGUUGUUGGUGGGGUAAUGGCCCACCAAGCCUAUAACCGGUGCGGGCUCUGAGAGGAGGAGCCCGGAGAUAGGCACUGAGACAAGGGCCCAGGUCCUAUGGGGCGCAGCAGGCGCGAAACCUCCGCAAUGGGCGAAAGCCCGACGGGGUCAGUCCGAGUGGUUCCCGCUGAGGGAACCUUUUGCCAGCUGUAAACAGGCUGGCGAAUAAGGGGUGGGCAAGUUUGGUGUCAGCCGCCGCGGUAAUACCAGCACCCCGAGUGGUCGGGACGAUUAUUGGGCCUAAAGCAUCCGUAGCCGGCCCAGUAAGUCCUCCGUUAAAUCCAACGGCUCAACCGUUGGGCUGCGGGGGAUACUGCUGGGCUAGGGGACGGGAGAGGCGAGGGGUAUUCCCGGGGUAGGGGUAAAAUCCACUGAUCCCAGGAGGACCACCAGUGGCGAAGGCGCCUCGCUAGAACGUGCCCGACGGUGAGGGAUGAAAGCUGGGGGAGCGAACCGGAUUAGAUACCCGGGUAGUCCCAGCCGUAAACGAUGUAGGCUCGGUGUUGGGCUGCCUCAGUGGCAGCCCAGUGCCGCAGGGAAGCCGUUAAGCCUACCGCCUGGGGAGUACGGCCGCAAGGCUGAAACUUAAAGGAAUUGGCGGGGGAGCACCAC